rnacentral:rRNA from 1 species
UACGUAGGGGGCAAGCGUUGUCCGGAUUUAUUGGGCGUAAAGCGCGUGUAGGCGGCCCUGCAAGUCGGAUGUGAAAUCCCACGGCUCAACCGUGGAAGUGCAUUCGAAACUGCAGGGCUAGAGUCCUGGAGAGGAAGGUGGAAUGCUUGGUGUAGAGGUGAAAUUCGUAGAUAUCAAGCGGAACACCGGUGGCGAAGGCGGCCUUCUGGACAGUGACUGACGCUGAGACGCGAAAGCGUGGGGAGCAAACAGG